GGCUCUGUAGUGAAGUUCAUGGUGAGUUGCAAGCUCAUUGAUGUGCAUUGAUAGUGCACCGGAGCCU
rnacentral:tRNA from 1 species